UACGUAGGGUGCAAGCGUUAAUCGGAAUUACUGGGCGUAAAGCGUGCGCAGGCGGUUGUGUAAGACAGAUGUGAAAGCCCCGGGCUCAACCUGGGAAUGGCAAUGGAUACUGGACAGCUAGAGUGCGGUAGAGGGUAGUGGAAUUCCCGGUGUAGCAGUGAAAUGCGUAAAGAUCGGGAGGAACACCAGUGGCGAAGGCGGCUACCUGGACCAGCACUGACACUGAAGCACGAAAGCGCUGGGGAGCAAACAGGGAAGUUAAGAUGACCCGAGUAGUCCGA
rnacentral:rRNA from 1 species